rnacentral:rRNA from 1 species
GGGGGGGGGGGGGGGGGGGGGGUGGGGGGGGGGGGGGGGGGGGGGCGGCCCUGCUGGGGUGGGGGGGGGGGGUGGGGGACGGGUGAGUGACCCGUGAGUAACGUGCGCUGGCCUGUGUGGUACGUGCAGGACACUGGGCCUGAUACCGGUGAGGAGCUCCUGCUGCUUGGUGGGGGGUGGAACGUUUCGGUGGUGGGGGAUGGACUCGCGGCUUAUCAGCUUGUUGGUGGGGUAGUGGCUUACCAAGGCUUUGACGGGUAGCCGGCCUGAGAGGGUGACCGGCCACAUUGGGACUGAGAUACGGCCCAGACUCCUACGGGAGGCAGCAGUGGGGAAUAUUGCACAAUGGGCGGAAGCCUGAUGCAGCAACGCCGCGUGCGGGAUGACGGCCUUCGGGUUGUAAACCGCUUUCGCCUGUGACGAAGCGUGAGUGACGGUAAUGGGUAAAGAAGCACCGGCUAACUACGUG